UACGUAGGGAGCAAGCGUUGUUCGGAAUCACUGGGCGUAAAGGGAGUGUAGGCGGAAAUAUAAGUUAGAAGUGAAAAGUAUAGGCUUAACCUGUAACCUGCUUCUAAUACUGUGUUUCUUGAGUAUGGGAGAGGAAGAUGGAAUUCCAGGUGGAGUGGUAAAAUACGUAGAUAUCUGGAAGAACACCAGUUGCGAAGGCGGUCUUCUGGACCAAUACUGACGCUGAGGCUCGAAAGCUAGGGGAG
rnacentral:rRNA from 1 species